rnacentral:rRNA from 1 species
ACGUUAAGGGCGUCGAGCGGCGGACGGGUGAGUAAUGCCUAGGAAGUUGCCCAGUAGAGGGGGAUAACCAUUGGAAACGAUGGCUAAUACCGCAUAACCUCUUCGGAGCAAAGCAGGGGACCUUCGGGCCUUGCGCUAUUGGAUACGCCUAGGUGGGAUUAGCUAGUUGGUGAGGUAAGGGCUCACCAAGGCGACGAUCCCUAGCUGGUCUGAGAGGAUGAUCAGCCACACUGGAACUGAGACACGGUCCAGACUCCUACGGGAGGCAGCAGUGGGGAAUAUUGCACAAUGGGCGAAAGCCUGAUGCAGCCAUGCCGCGUGUGUGAAGAAGGCCUUCGGGUUGUAAAGCACUUUCAGCAGUGAGGAAGGUGGUAAGAUUAAUACGCUUAUCAUUUGACGUUAGCUGCAGAAGAAGCACCGGCUAACUCCGUGCCAGCAGCCGCGGUAAUACGGAGGGUGCGAGCGUUAAUCGGAAUUACUGGGCGUAAAGCGCAUGCAGGUGGUGAGUUAAGUCAGAUGUGAAAGCCCGGGGCUCAACCUCGGAAUUGCAUUUGAAACUGGCUCACUAGAGUACUGUAGAGGGGGGUAGAAUUUCAGGUGUAGCGGUGAAAUGCGUAGAGAUCUGAAGGAAUACCAGUGGCGAAGGCGGCCCCCUGGACAGAUACUGACACUCAGAUGCGAAAGCGUGGGGAGCAAACAGGAUUAGAUACCCUGGUAGUCCACGCCGUAAACGAUGUCUACUUGGAGGUUGUGGCCUUGAGCCGUGGCUUUCGGAGCUAACGCGUUAAGUAGACCGCCUGGGGAGUACGGUCGCAAGAUUAAAACUCAAAUGAAUUGACGGGGGCCCGCACAAGCGGUGGAGCAUGUGGUUUAAUUCGAUGCAACGCGAAGAACCUUACCUACUCUUGACAUCCAGAGAACUUUCCAGAGAUGGAUUGGUGCCUUCGGGAACUCUGAGACAGGUGCUGCAUGGCUGUCGUCAGCUCGUGUUGUGAAAUGUUGGGUUAAGUCCCGCAACGAGCGCAACCCUUAUCCUUGUUUGCCAGCACUUCGGGUGGGAACUCCAGGGAGACUGCCGGUGAUAAACCGGAGGAAGGUGGGGACGACGUCAAGUCAUCAUGGCCCUUACGAGUAGGGCUACACACGUGCUACAAUGGCGCAUACAGAGGGCGGCCAACCAGCGAUGGUGAGCGAAUCCCAAAAAGUGCGUCGUAGUCCGGAUUGGAGUCUGCAACUCGACUCCAUGAAGUCGGAAUCGCUAGUAAUCGUAGAUCAGAAUGCUACGGUGAAUACGUUCCCGGGCCUUGUACACACCGCCCGUCACACCAUGGGAGUGGGCUGCAAAAGAAGUGGGUA